rnacentral:lncRNA from 1 species
UAAGUCUAAAACUAUUUUUGCGUAUGACUUCAAGAACCGACUGGCAAUCGUAGCUCUCAAAAGCUUCUGUCGAACUCUGACCUUGUAGAUAAACUCUGACCUUUGUCAAUGACUUGUCCAUUAGAUAAGGGAUCAUAUAUUCCUCCAUUCUAGGUAUCAUAUGGACUGAGACAUGGAUUAUAAAUCAUUCUCACUGUACAUUUGUUGUUUCCCGAUUUCUGAUUCAUGAUGACUGACUGAUUGAACAGAUCAAAUCAGUCCUAGCUUGGCCAAGCACUCACAUGUAUCAUCAUUAAAUCAUCGAGGGGCCCACAGAUAUCACUUUUAUCCUGAAGGUAAAAUGAAUGGAUAAACUUGGACUCAUAUGGAUUGUUCUACUACUUUUUGAAUCAUACAUAAAGGUAUGUUUUAUAACAUCGAGUUACCGAAUGCGUUUUUGUGCAAUCAAUGUAAAACCAUCUCAUAGUAACAACUCAUAUCUCUAGGUUUGAAGAAUAUAAGAUAUUAUCGUCUCAUGAUCACUCGUGAUAAAAUCCAUGAAGUGAUUCCAAUGAGCGCGGGUUGAAUCCAAUACUCAUAACUUAUGAGCACUCAUGAGUGUUGUAGCAUAACUUUUUCCACCAACUUGGGCUUCUACAAGCCAACCCAUGACAGUCUUGAUUCAUACCUACUUCCAACAUAUGACCGACUGUGGAUGGUUUGAAUAACUUAGUCAUUCCGGAAGAAUAACCUAGUUUGUUUUGGAAGUCAAAACAUGCAAAAUGAUGCACAAGAAUAAUUGAAUCUAAUAUGGUAUCAAAACCUAUGAACAUAAAUAAAACACCUUUUAUUUAUCAUCAUACUGAUUACUCAUUAUUCAUUGUUUCGAUUUUCUUAACUUUAUAUUUAAACUAAAAAUACUAUUUGUCCCAUGCUCCAAGCAUGUACACUAUGUGUUUUUCUAAGCAAUAGCUUUGCCAUACACCAAGUAUGCACUCUAUUUUUAGCUAUGAUCCUUACUUAGUGAAAUAAACCAAUUGACCAAACUUUCAAUGAUUCUAAUUUCACACUCCCGAAUUCUUAUGGCAAAUGAAGGAAUUCCANAUUCAUGCCAUUUACUGAAAUCUGUUAGAUUCUAAACUUAUAUGCAUUGAUACUCUUGUAAUGAUUAUGCACAAAGUCAUAAAGACUUGACAACAAACAUUACAGAGCAUUCCAAAGGAGAUCAACUCCUUGGAAAUAUCCUUCUUGCAUUAAGUUUCCUAAUCUUACACAGAUUUAGUGAACAACUUCCACCAAUGGGAUCAUUUCCGCAUUCCCCUUUUGACUAUCACUUCUGAACAAGAGUUGUCUCUUUUCAGAAUAUGUCAAUAUGGUCCUUCCAGAAUUAUCACUAUACUUCCAAUUGUCCUUGAGCAACCAAUCUUUGGUAAACCUUAGAUUGUCCUCGACAAUUGUUUAAUCCUUUUAGUCAUAUCCAGUUCUAAACCUUUUCCCUUCUUAAUGCCCCAGGCAUUUGGAAAAUUUUAGAACGGAUGAAUAUAGCACAUGUAAUCGAUCCUAUAUCCGAAGCAUAUGGGACACGAUUCAUGAUGUCUUACAUAAAGACUAAACCAGUCUUUUGCUAUAAUAUUUCCAUUUCAAUUUGCCAAGUUCUCAUAAUUCAGAUUAUGAAAAGGGAUGCCGUAAUCAUAAUCGAAUUUUAGAACGCAAAUAAUGGACCCAUAUACAGAAUUUCCUUAUGUUGAGCCAUUCCAACAUGAAAUUCAUAUAUAUCCUUGACUAAAUGAUUAAAACCUCACGAUCUAAGCUUAUAGAUUUGAGAUGAAGCAUAAUUUCCUCUCCCUUAAUUAUAGCAAAACAACUUUUUCCCAAUUGAAACUUUUGUUUUCUAUAAUUAACAUUGCUAACUUGCAAUACUUAUCAUAAUUAUCAUGCUCCCACUAACAUGAUGAUUAUUAGCAUAACACUUAUGCUCCCACUAGCUUUGACAUGUACUCAGAAAUCAGCUGACUUUCUUACCAAAGUUCAGAUUUCUGAUACUAGAUUGUUUUGAUAAAACUUUAUCAAAAUCAUACACCUUCCCUUAGAUGGCACACUUGUGUGUCUAAACAAUUAUGAAGAGGGGUGCCUUAGAUUGUCCUCGACAAUUGCUCAAUCCUUUUAGUCGUAUCCAAUUCUAGACCUUUUCCCUUCUUAAUGCCCCAGGCAUUUGGAAAAUUUUAGAAAGAAUGAAAAUAGCACAUGUAACCGAUCCUAUUUCCAAAGAAUAUGGAGCACGAUUCAUGAUGUCUUACAUAAAGACUAAACCAGUCUUUUGCUAUAAUAUUUCCAUUUCAAUUUGCCAAGUUCUCAUAAUUCAGAUUAUGAAAAGGGAUGUCGUAAUCAUAAUCGAAUUUUAGAAUGCAAAUAAUGAACCCAUAUAUAGAAUUUCCUUAUGAAA